AUUGAACGCUGGCGGCAUGCUUUACACAUGCAAGUCGAACGGGAAUAUGGGGUUUACUCUAUAUUUUAGUGGCGAACGGGUGAGUAAUGCAUCGGAACGUGCCCAGGAGUUUGGGAUACCGUGGCGAAAGUCACGUUAAUACCGGAUAUUACUGUGAGCAGGAAAGCAGGGGGAAUCGCAAGAUCCUUGCGCUUUUGGAGCGGCCGAUGUCGGAUUAGCUAGUUGGUGGGGUAAAGGCUCACCAAGGCGACGAUCCGUAGCGGGUCUGAGAGGACGAUCCGCCACACUGGGACUGAGACACGGCCCAGACUCCUACGGGAGGCAGCAGUGGGGAAUUUUGGACAAUGGGGGAAACCCUGAUCCAGCCAUGCCGCGUGAGUGAAGAAGGCCUUCGGGUUGUAAAGCUCUUUUAGUCGGGAGGAAAUCGCACGCUCCAACUGGGUGUGUGGAUGACGUUACUGACAGAAAAAGCACCGGCUAACUACGUGCCAGCCGCCGCCGUAAGAC
rnacentral:rRNA from 1 species